CGGUGUUUAACUGGCGUGAUGUAGGACGUCCUACCGGUGGGCUUAGCCUCGCGAGGGGCGGCCCAACUAAUAUCCCGUCGCGGUGCUCUUUACUGAGUGUCGAGUCGGGCCGGUACGUUUACUUUGAACAAAUUAGAGUGCUUAAAGCAGGCUAUCCUCGCCUGAAUACUGCGUGCAUGGAAUAAUGGAAUAGGACCUCGGUUCUAUUUUGUUGGUUUUCGGAACCCCGAGGUAAUGAUUAAUAGGGACAGAUGGGGGCAUUCGUAUUGCGACGUUAGAGGUGAAAUUCUUGGAUCGUCGCAAGACGGACAGAAGCGAAAGCAUUUGCCAAAAAUGUUUUCAUUAAUCAAGAGCGAAAGUUAGAGGUUCGAAGGCGAUCAGAUACCGCCCUAGUUCUAACCAUAAACGAUGCCAGCUAGCGAUCCGCCGAAGUUCCUCCGAUGACUCGGCGGGCAGCUUCCGGGAAACCAAAGCUUUUGGGUUCCGGGGGAAGUAUGGUUGCAAAGCUGAAACUUAAAGGAAUUGACGGAAGGGCACCACCAGGAGUGGAGCCUGCGGCUUAAUUUGACUCAACACGGGAAACCUCACCAGGCCCAGACACCGGAAGGAUUGACAGAUUGAUAGCUCUUUCUUGAUUCGGUGGGUGGUGGUGCAUGGCCGUUCUUAGUUGGUGGAGCGAUUUGUCUGGUUAAUUCCGAUAACGAACGAGACUCCAGCCUGCUAAAUAGGCGUACCUUAUGGUAUCGCGAAGGCCCCCGGCUUCGGCCGGUGGGUUUUUACUACCAACGUACAAACAAAUCUUCUUAGAGGGACAGGCGG
rnacentral:rRNA from 1 species